rnacentral:rRNA from 1 species
GACCUCAAGUCAUGUGAGAUUACCCGCUGAACUUAAGCAUAUCAAUAAGCGGAGGAAAAGAAACUAACAAGGAUUCCCCUAGUAACGGCGAGUGAAGCGGGAAGAGCACAAAUUUUAAAUCUACCUGGUUUUCAGGUCGAGUUGUAAUUUGAAGAGGCGUUUUUUACAUUCUGGGUUGGGUUAAAUCCUUUGGGAUAAGGUAUCAUGGAGGGUGAGAAUCCCGUAUAUACCAACUGCUGAGUGUUAAAUAAUACGCUUUCUAAGAGUCGAGUUGUUUGGGAAUGCAGCUCUAAAUGGGUGGUAAAUUUCACCUAAUGCUAAAUAUAAGCGAGAGACCGAUAGCGAACAAGUACCGUGAGGGAAAGAUGAAAAGAACUUUGAAAAGAGAGUUAAAUAGUACGUGAAAUUGUUGAAAGGGAAACGGUUGAAGUCAGUCAUGCCGGUGGGAAUCAAUUUAGGGAAACCUGAGUGCACUUCUUCACUUGGCAGGUUAGCGUCGAUUUUGGAUGUCAUAAAAUAACUGGGGGAAGGUAGCUCCUACGGGAGUGUUAAGCCCUUGGUAGAUGUGAUGUCUGGGAUCGAGGAUUGCAACGGAUACCCUUUGGGCUAGUCACCUAGUCUCUAAUACGAUGUUGGGUUAUAGACAGCAUGCUGACUGUUAUCUGAUUUUCGGUUAAAAGAUUAGAGUGAGCAUAAAUUCGUUAAGGACGCUGACGUAAUGGCUUUAAACGACCCGUCUUGAAACACGGACCAAGGAGUCUAACAUGUAUGCGAGUGUUGGGGUAUUAAACCCAGACGCGAAAUGAAAGUGAGUGUAGGUGGGAUCUUUUAUUGGAGCACCAUCGACCGAUCUUGAGAUUUAUCGAUAGAAUUGAGUUAGAGCAUACCUGUUGGGACCCGAAAGAUGGUGAACUAUGCCUGAAUAGAACGAAGCCAGAGGAAACUCUGGU